AAAAGGAGAAGAAACCAACAGGGGAUUGCCCCAGUAACGGCGAGUGAAGCGGCAACAGCUCAAAUUUGAAAUCUGGCCCUAGGCCCGAGUUGUAAUUUGCAGAGGAUGCUUUUGGCGCGGUGCCUUCCGAGUUCCCUGGAACGGGACGCCAUAGAGGGUGAGAGCCCCGUACGGUUGGACACCAAGUCUUUGUAAAGCUCCUUCGACGAGUCGAGUAGUUUGGGAAUGCUGCUCAAAAUGGGAGGUAUAUUUCUUCUAAAGCUAAAUAUUGGCCGGAGACCGAUAGCGCACAAGUAGAGUGAUCGAAAGAUGAAAAGCACUUUGAAAAGAGGGUUAAACAGCACGUGAAAUUGUUAAAAGGGAAGCGCUUGUGACCAGACUUGCGUCCGGUGAAUCACCCAGCUCUCGCGGCUGGGGCAUUUUGCCGGCUCAGGCCAGCAUCAGCUUGCCGUCGGGGACAAAAGCUUCGGGAACGUAGCUCUCUUCGGGGAGUGUUAUAGCCCGUUGCAUAAUACCCUUCGGUGGGCUGAGGUACGCGCUCCGCAAGGAUGCUGGCGUAAUGGUCAUCAGCGACCCGUCUUGAAACACGGACCAAGGAGUCAACCUUAUGUGCGAGUGUUUGGGUGUUAAACCCCUACGCGUAAUGAAAGUGAACGCAGGUGAGAGCUUCGGCGCAUCAUCGACCGAUCCUGAUGUUCUCGGAUGGAUUUGAGUAAGAGCAUAUAGGGUUGGACCCGAAAGAAGGUGAACUAUGCGUGUAUAGGGUGAAGCCAGAGGAAACUCUGGUGGAGGCUCGCAGCGGUUCUGACGUGCAAAUCGAUCGUCAAAUAUGCGCAUGGGGGCGAAAGACUAAUCGAACCUUCUAGUAGCUGGUUUCCGCCGAAGUUUCCCUCAGGAUAGCAGUGUUGAACUCAGUUUUAUGAGGUAAAGCGAAUGAUUAGGGACUCGGGGGCGCUAUAUUGCCUUCAUCCAUUCUCAAACUUUAAAUAUGUAAAAAACCCUUGUUACUUAUUUGAACGUGGGCAUUCGAAUGUUUCAACCCUAGUGGGCCAUUUUUGGUAAGCAAAACUGGGCAAUGCGGGAUGAACC
rnacentral:rRNA from 1 species